UUAAGCAUAUCAAUAAGCGGAGGAAAAGAAACCAACAGGGAUUGCCUCAGUAACGGCGAGUGAAGCGGCAACAGCUCAAACUUGAAAUCUGGCUCCUUCGGGGUCCGAGUUGUAAUUUGCAGAGGAUGUUUCGGGUGCGGGGCCGGUCUAAGUCCCUUGGAACAGGGCGUCAUAGAGGGUGAGGAUCCCGUAUGUGACCGGUGGCCAAGCCCAUGUGAAACUCCUUCGACGAGUCGAGUUGUUUGGGAAUGCAGCUCAAAAUGGGUGGUAAAUUUCAUCUAAAGCUAAAUACCGGCCAGAGACCGAUAGCGCACAAGUAGAGUGAUCGAAAGAUGAAAAGCACUUUGGAAAGAGAGUCAAAAAGUACGUGAAAUUGUUGAAAGGGAAGCGCUUGUAACCAGACCUGCCGCCGGGUGCUCCGCGGGCACUCUUGCCCGUCCACACACCCGCGAUCAGGCCAGCAUCGGUUUCGGCGGCCGGAUAAAGACUCGAGGAAUGUAGCUUCGCUUCGGGGAAGUAUUAUAGCCUCUUGUGCAAUACGGCCAGCCGGGACCGAGGACCGCGCUUCGGCUAGGAUGCUGGCGUAAUGGUUGCAAGCGACCCGUCUUGAAACACGGACCAAGGAGUCUAACAUCGAUGCGAGUGUUUGGGUGUCAAACCCAUGCGCGGAAUGAAAGUGAACGGAGGUGGGAACCCUUUAGGGCGCACCAUCGACCGAUCCGGAAGUUUACGGAUGGAUUUGAGUAUGAGCAUCGCUGUUGGGACCCGAAAGAUGGUGAACUAUGCCUGAAUAGGGUGAAGCCAGAGGAAACUCUGGUGGAGGCUCGCAGCGGUUCUGACGUGCAAAUCGAUCGUCAAAUUUGGGUAUAGGGGUAAGUCGAGGCUUCAUCAACUUGAACGAAUUGGUACUAACAUACUCACCAGGCGAAAGACUAAUCGAACCAUCUAGUAGCUGGUUCCUGCCGAAGUUUCGUAAGUGUAACCAUUACCCUCCCCUGAAGAACUCCUGCUAACGUGCCCAAUAGCCUCAGGAUAGCAGUAACGUUUUCAGUUUUAUGAGGUAAAGCGAAUGAUUAGAAGCCUUGGGGAUGAAACAUCCUUAACUUAUUCUCAAACUUUAAAUAUGUAAGAAGUCCUUGUUACUUAGUUGAACGUGGACAUUUGAAUGUACCGUUACUAGUGGGCCAUUUUUGGUAAGCAGAACUGGCGAUGCGGGAUGAACCGAACGUGGGGUUAAGGUGCCGGAAUGUACGCUCAUCAGACACCACAAAAGGUGUUGAUUCAUCUAGACAGCCGGACGGUGGCCAUGGAAGUCGGAAUCCGCUAAGGAGUGUGUGGAAUGUUGCACACUACAGUAAAACCUCUACUAGCCUGCGCCCCCAGGGCACAAGCGACGGCUCUUUGGUGCCUGAAUGCUUUUCGUCGGUCGAAAUUGCAACUGGCAGUGGGGUCGACGUGGCCUCAUCUACAGACUACGCAGAGCUGACUGCAGUAC
rnacentral:rRNA from 1 species